rnacentral:rRNA from 1 species
GAUGAACGCUAGCUACAGGCUUAACACAUGCAAGUCGAGGGGCAGCAUGAACUUAGCUUGCUAAGUUUGAUGGCGACCGGCGCACGGGUGAGUAACGCGUAUCCAACCUGCCCUUUACGCGGGGAUAGCCUUCUGAAAGGAAGUUUAAUACCCGAUGAAUUCGUUUAGUCGCAUGGCUUGAUGAAGAAAGAUUUAUCAGUAAAGGAUGGGGAUGCGUCCCAUUAGCUUGUUGGCGGGGUAACGGCCCACCAAGGCGACGAUGGGUAGCCGACCUGAGAGGGUGACCGGCCACAUUGGGACUGAGACACGGCCCAAACUCCUACGGGAGGCAGCAGUGGGGAAUAUUGCACAAUGGGCGCAAGCCUGAUGCAGCGACGCCGCGUGAAGGAUGAAGUAUUUCGGUAUGUAAACUUCUAUCAGCAGGGAAGAAAAUGACGGUACCUGACUAAGAAGCCCCGGCUAACUACGUGCCAGCAGCCGC